rnacentral:lncRNA from 1 species
UAUGAAUAAGCAAAUGGGUCCGAAGGCAAGCUCUUGGUAAAUUUGCUGGCCAUUCUGGUGCUAAUGUUAUGUGUUGGAGCUGUGCAAGUUAAGAGCCAGAAUCAACUGCAGAAAUGUCUAGGCAAUUGUGGGCAAAAUGUGAUUUCUUGUGCAGAAAAGCGCUUUUCACUGAAGGAGCCUGACAACAAUUCUUUACUAUGCAUCGACCCCAGUUCAUGUGGUGUCGAUGACUUCAAAUGCAUGGGAGGUUGUGCUGGAAUUGAUAUUCCACUUCCACCUGGACUGGCACCGUGGCAGCCACCGCAGCUGUAGUCCAACACCUAGCUCGGCUGAGUUUAUCUGAACUUGGAAGAAGUUACUUCUAAA